rnacentral:tRNA from 1 species
GGACCCGUAGCCUAGCCUGGAUAGGGCGCCAGCCUUCUAAGCUGGAGAUCGUGGGUUCAAAUCCCAUCGGGUCCG